AACGAACGCUGGCGGCAUGCCUAACACAUGCCAGUCGAACGAGACCUUCGGGUCUAGUGGCGCACGGGUGCGUAACGCGUGGGAACCUGCCCUUAGGUUCGGAAUAACUCCCCGAAAGGGGUGCUAAUACCGGAUAAUGUCUUCGGACCAAAGAUUUAUCGCCUUUGGAUGGGCCCGCGUUGGAUUAGCUAGUUGGUAGGGUAAAAGCCUACCAAGGCGACGAUCCAUAGCUGGUCUGAGAGGAUGAUCAGCCACACUGGGACUGAGACACGGCCCAGACCCUUCGGGAGGCAGCAGUGGAGAAUAUUGGACAAUGGGCGAAAGCCUGAUCCAGCAAUGCCGCGUGAGUGAUGAAGGCCUUAGGGUUGUAAAGCUCUUUUACCCGGGAUGAUAAUGACAGUACCGGGAGAAUAAGCUCCGGCUAACUCCGUG
rnacentral:rRNA from 1 species